rnacentral:rRNA from 1 species
AUGGGCGCCGGUCUUGUGUGCCACUCGUGGCUCCACGCGGCCAAGGUUCUGCCCGAUCUGUGGUCACAUGUGAAUACAGUCUAACAUGUGGAGAUCCGUGAUCAUGCUGACAAGGACGAAAGCGCCCUGUGCGCAAUGGCGAAGGUGGCGGUGGACCGCUCCGACGGACAGCUCAAGGUGUUCUUGGCCAAGCAGUUUGUCACGGAUGAGCUCCUCAACUACAUAGGGGACAGGUCGCCUUCCCUGAAGAGCCUUGGCCUCAUAUCCUGCCCCGACGUCACCAACCAAGGGUUCACCCAUCUGACAACCAGGUCCCCGCUGCUAGAAGACCUCGUGCUUGUCAACUGUCGUAACGUCGGCGGCGACGCGUACGAGGCCACCGGCGUGGCAUGCGGAGCAACCCUGAAGCGUCUCGUGCUGCGUAAAGGGUGGUAUGACCAGAGAGGCGGCGCGCUUGGAAUCGCGACGAUGCGCGAGCUGCGGGACCUUUCUCUCGUCGGCAGCGACAUCACCACGGACGAGCUGGCGGCCGUCGUCGACGCCUGUCCUCACCUGGAGCGCCUCCGCGUGAACGACUGCUACAACGUCGUCGUGGACGACGACCUGCGAGCCAAGUGCGCCGGCAUCAAGGACCUGACGCUCCCCUCUGUGCAGGACGCGCAGGCGAGGUACUACCUUGACGACUAUGAUGAGCCGUUGAGCAGUCGCGAUGUCGAUGGUUGGGGCUCUGACUAA